GACGAACGCUGGCGGCGUGCCUAAUACAUGCAAGUCGAGCGAAGUUUUUCUGGUUCUUGCACUAGAAAAACUUAGCGGCGAACGGGUGAGUAACACGUAAAGAACCUGCCUCAUAGACUGGGACAACUAUUGGAAACGAUAGCUAAUACCGGAUAACAGCAUUAACUGCAUGGUUGAUGUUUAAAAGUUGGUUUUGCUAACACUAUGAGAUGGCUUUGCGGUUCAUUAGCUAGUUGGUGGGGUAAAGGCCUACCAAGGCGACGAUGCAUAGCCGACCUGAGAGGGUGAUCGGCCACACUGGGACUGAGACACGGACAAGACUCCUACGGGAGGCAGCAGUAGGGAAUCUUCCGCAAUGGGCGAAAGCAUGACGGAGCAACGCAGCGUGAGUGAAGAAGGAUUUCGGUUCGUAAAGCUCUGUUGUUAGGGAAGAAUGAUUGUGUAGUAACUAUACGCAGUAGAGACGGUACCUAAACAGAAAGCCACGGCUAACUACGUG
rnacentral:rRNA from 1 species